UGGGGAAUUUUGGACAAUGGGCGAAAGCCUGAUCCAGCAAUGCCGCGUGUGUGAGGAAGGCCUUCGGGUUGUAAAGCACUUUUGUCCGGAAAGGAAUCCUUGGCUCUAAUACAGUCGGGGGAUGACGGUACCGGAAGAAUAAGCACCGGCUAACUACGUGCCAGCAGCCGCGGUAAUACGUAGGGUGCAAGCGUUAAUCGGAAUUACUGGGCGUAAAGCGUGCGCAGGCGGUUUGCUAAGACCGAUGUGAAAUCCCCGGGCUCAACCUGGGAACUGCAUUGGUGACUGGCAGGCUAGAGUAUGGCAGAGGGGGGUAGAAUUCCACGUGUAGCAGUGAAAUGCGUAGAGAUGUGGAGGAAUACCGAUGGCGAAGGCAGCCCCCUGGGCCAAUACUGACGCUCAUGCACGAAAGCGUGGGGAGCAAACAGGAUUAGAUACCCUGGUAGUCCACGCCCUAAACGAUGUCAACUAGUUGUUGGGGAUUCAUUUCCUUAGUAACGUAGCUAACGCGUGAAGUUGACCGCCUGGGGAGUACGGUCGCAAGAUUAAAACUCAAAUAAAUUGACGGGGUCAUAGCUGUUUCCU
rnacentral:rRNA from 1 species